rnacentral:rRNA from 1 species
UACGGAGGGUGCAAGCGUUGUCCGGAUUUAUUGGGUUUAAAGGGUGCGUAGGCGGCACCUUAAGUCAGUGGUGAAAGACGGUUGCUCAACAAUCGCAGUGCCAUUGAUACUGGGUAGCUUGAGUACAGUCGAGGCGGACGGAAUGCACGGUGUAGCGGUGAAAUGCAUAGAUACCAUCAAGAACACCGAUUGCGAAGGCAGUUCACUAGGCUUUAACUGACGCUGAGGCACGAAAGCGUGGGGAGCAAAC